CUCUUGCACACCAACAUGAAUAUUAGGUGAAACAAAAAUAUUGGGCCACAAAUCUCCACUUUAACUAUUUUUUAAAGGAAAAAAAUUGGAUUAGAGCAUUUUUGUAAUUUUCUUCCCAAAAAAGCACCUCCCUGUAAUUUCCAACCAUUGAGGCAUUAUUUGGUAAAAUGUUGAUUCCCAAGAAAUUUUGUGGUAAAAAUCCCUAAUUAAUAUCACAUAAUAUUCUUAUGUAUAAUAAUAUAGCUUAGCUAGUAUGAAUUUUUUAUUAGAUUUCUCAAUUGAAGAAUCUUUUAUAUACCCCACAAGCUCCACAGUCCACAGUGGUUGGCCCAUAACCAAAAUUUGUCUUGAUUAGAAGUCUGAUCAUGGCUUGUAAACCUGGUUUCAAGCCAUCGGGUGCCAAGAGCUGCCAGGUUUGUGAUGUUGUAAGUUGUUGCAUUUGGGUGUUGUCCUGUCUUUCUGAUUGAGAAGAGGCAUGGCUUUUGGAGAUGUUGGAUGCUUUGGGUGCUAACAGCCCCAUAGCAUCCUAAUGAAAAUGAAAGAUUAUAUCGAAAUUUCAGCAUCGAAAAGUUGUGGCUUUGUUUGAAUGAUUUAGUCUGUAGAAGCAUCAAAGUAAAACUAGGUGGCGGAUCCUUCAUUGACUCUGUGUAGAAGCUCUGACCUUGUUGUACAUGUGGAUACACAUGCAUAUGCUGGUGACAUGGGUUUUACAUGUAUUAGUAGCACUUUAUGGUGCCAAGGUAAUUAACUUUUCAAGUGGUAAAUGGUAAGGGAAUGACAAUUUUGGCGUGAUUGGACCUUUACAAGUAUAUACAAAACUACAAUAUGUAACAGUCGCUCUGGACAUUGAUGUGAGGGUUGCAAAUGGCACCCAUUGUUGAACUUGUUUAACUAAUGUAGUUAGGGAAUAGGGUGGCCUUACUAGGCUAUAGCGAAAGAUUGUGGUUUGUUUAGGAGCAGUGCAACUGAUGAAAGUACCUUUCCCUGAUCUGCUCCAAAGGUAAUUGCUUUAAAUUCAAAGGGAGUCGCUUUGAAUUUUGCAAAAAAACACAGUUCUUGCAUGUAACCUUUUUAUGGACAACAAAGUUAACCUUUUGAAUGAUGGUUCUUGCAACUAACCUUUUUAUGGAUAACAAAGUUAACCUUUUGAGUCAUGGUUCUUGCAUAUACCCUUUUCAUGAACUUUGACUCUAAAAGGACAGAAGCAACUAUCCAUUGAAGCAAUGGACUGUCAUUACUGCCUACUAAUUACAAGCACUGUCUGGAAACAGCAUUAGUAGCAAAUACAUCAGCGAAAGAGUUCAACUCCCUGAUCCUAGAAAACAUUUCGGAAAAAAAAAAAGAAGAAGAAGAACAAGAACAAGAAAAAAACUGCUACGGAACUAUGGAGUAGGUCUGAAGUUGUUUUCUAGAAAAUUGAGGCUAGAGCGUAUCUAUGGGCUUGUAGCAUCAAAAUCUUUUAAAGGAUGUUCUUGAAUCGCAGAGAAUGAGGUGAGAUUUCUGCCUCUAAGCAAUCAUAUUUAUAAAGAAAAUAACAUACAGAAGAGAAACCCAAUUUUGUGGAGGAAAGAGGGAUUCGAAGGAUGAGGGACUUCCAGAUGCAGAAGUUCAAGCCCAAGUAUCCCAGAGGAUGGAGAGAGGCACUUGGAAUAUUCAGUCAAUUACAACUCUUCCAACAAGAAUAAUGGAAGCAAGAUAGAGCCAGUUCUGCAGAUGUUACUCUCAGUAGGGCGAUUCACUAUUUGGUUGAGUGGGCCAUGUAUUCUGUAAAACCUAUUGAUUGUAACUUUGCGUUUUUUCAUGUCAGUGGUCCUUUUGUUCCUUUUUCUGUUUUUUCUUUCAUUAAUAUAAUCCUUUGCGUUAUCUCUCAAAAAAAAAAUAAUAAUAAUAAUAAUGGAAGCAAGAAGGGUAGGGGGUCUCUAGUGGUGUCCAACAAAAGUACUCAGUUGGAACUUGGAAUGUUAGGGGGCUGGGAAGCCAAGACAAGAGGAUCCAUGUCAAACAGGUAUGCAAUAGGUAUAAGAUUCAGAUUCUCUAUAUUCAGGAAACUAAAUUAGAUUUUUUUUAUGCAAAGAUUCUCAACUCCAUUUGGGGAAUUAGGAACAAAGGGUGGUCCGUUUUGAAUGCGGAAGGCAUAGCAAGGGGGUAUUCUAGUAGCUUGGGUCAAGGACUUCUGGGGCACUGAGGACAGUCACAUGGGUUCCUUUUUGGUUACGGCCUUUCUCAGGAAUAUCUCAACAUAGUUCAGAUGGCUCUUCACUGCAGUCUAUCGUUCGUGUAAUCCGACUUGUAGAAACCUCUUCUGGACAGAAUUGAACUAGGUCAGAUCCAUUUACGAUUUUCCUUGGUGUAUUGGUGACAACUUGAAUGUUAUGAGAUUUGUGCAUGAGAAGUCAAAUGGAGGUCGAAUUACGUGAAGCAUUAGAAGGUUUGAAGAUUGGGUGAGCCAAAACAAGUUAGUCGACCUUCCAAUGGGUGGGGCAAAGUACACAUGGACCAACUGGUUAUGGCUAGAUUAGACAGAUUCCUGUUAUCCCCUGAUUGGGUUGACAGAUAUCCUCUGGUGACAUCGCGCUGUCUUACCAGAUCUACAUCAGAUCAUAGACUAAUUUUACUGGAAGUGGAGGAGGAGAGCUGGGGUCCCAGGCCUCUCCAGUUUAAGCUCUUUUGGUUGGAGGUGGAGGGUUUUGUGAAUAUGAUUAAGGAUCGGUGGCAAUUGGAGGUGGAGGGUUUUGCGAAUAUGAUUAAGGAUUGGUGGCAAUCCUUCUCUGUCUCAAGUACACCUGGUUACUUUCUAUCCCAAAAACUUAAACUCCUCAAAAGGAAAACUUAAUGAGUGGAAGAAAGAAUUCUUAGCCAACAGAUAUGCUAUGACAGAUAGCAUAAUUCGGAGUUGAAUAUAUAGACAUCAAGGAGGAAGGGGCUGUUCUAUUGGCAGAAGACCGCAACGAAAGACUGGUUCUAUCAUCUGAAUAUUCCAAACUUUUAAAAGAAGAAGAAAUUAAUUGGAGACAGAGGUCUAAGACUGUUUGGCUUCAAGAAGGUGACUAGAACACAAGUUUUUUCCAUGGUAUAGCUAGUGCAAGGUUGAGGAAUAACCGUAUAUGCAGUCUCAUGGUUGGUGGUCAAAGAUUAGAAGAAAAGGAGUCAGUUUGUUAAGCCACAGUGCAGUUCUAUUCAAAUCUUCUAUCUUCUGACGGGUGGAGAAGACCUUUGCUGGAUAACUUGACUUUUGAUUGAUUAUCGGACAUGGAUAUGGUCUCCUGAAAAAUCGAUCUUUGAGAAUGAGAUUAAAAACUGUUGAUUCACUGGGAAAAGAUAAGGUGCCAGGACCUGACGGCUUUCCUUUGGCCUUUUUUUUUUUUUUCAAUUUUUUUGAGAUAUGGAUACGGUAUAGGUUCAAGGGUUCAAUGACAAAGGAAGACUAACCAAAGGGAUAGGUGCGUCAUAUUUAGCUAUCAUUCCAAAGAAAGGAGCAGAGGCACUUACAGAUUUUAGGCCCAUCAGUUUAUUUGGAAGCACAAGCAAGAUACUGGCAAAAAUUAUGUCCUUAAGAUUCAGAUCGGUAUCGUCGUUAGUUAUAGGUGAAAGCCAAGGAGCCUUCAUUACAAAUAGAUAGAUCCUUGAUAGUGCUUUGUUUGCCAAUGAGUGUAUUUAUUCGAGACACAGAGAAGGAAAGAAAGGUGUGGUGUGCAGGUUAGACAUCAAAAAGGCCUAUGAUCACAUGGUUUGGGGCUUUAUUAAAUACAUGCUAGGUAGACUGGGAUGCGGGAGUAAAAGGAUUUCUUGGAUGAUGGAAUGUGUCUCUUCGGCCCAUUUCUUGAUGUUGAUCAAUGGGUCUCCAAAAGGCUUCUUCCAAGCAACACGGGGCUUGAGACAAGGAAAUCCGCUAUCCCCCGUUCUGUUUGUUGUGGUAGUCGAAGGCUUGAGCAGAAUGUUAUACAAAGGUCAAGAGGUGGGGCUUAUAUCUGGAUUUUGAGGCAUCACUGGUUGGGAUAGAAUUUCCCAUUUGUAAUUGCGAACGACACACUCCUAUUCUGUGAGGUAUGUUCAUAUGGUUGACAACUUGAGUUGGAUAUUGGGGUGCUUUGAGGAGGUUUCGGGUCUAAAGAUAAAUGUCACAAAAAGUGAGAUGCUAGGCAUCGGUAUAUGUAAGGAAGAGAUUGCCAGCUUUGCGAGGGUCUUUGGAUGCGAAGCUGGGUCUGUUCCCUCCACAUACUCGGGAUUACCGUUGUGCUUGGGGAAGCCUACUUUAACCUUUGUAAUAAGGUGAUCGAAAGAUUUGAGUGGAAGUGCAGACACUUGUCGUUGGCAAGGGGCAUUACUAGCAUCUCGGUUUUGUCCAGCCUCCCUACAUACUUUGUCCCUGUUCAAAUGUGUUUUGAUGGCACCGACGGAGGGAGAUAUCAAACUAGGGUUUCCUCCAGUCUAAUGGGCCUAUACACUUUAAUAGAAGUAAUCGAGUUGAGAUGGAUGUUUAGCAGGAGCAUUUGUCCUUGGGAAAGGGGGAGAUGAUUUCUUAGCAUCUAUUCCUUAGUUAUAUCUUCUGCUUCUUUAAUAAAUUGUCAUUACCAUUAAAAAAAGUGCCGAAUAGGGGGGAAAAUACGAUAAUUCAGUACAUCAGAUCUAGUGUUAUCGAAUAACUCAAAUUCAUAAAAUGAUUGACCAGCCUGUAGCUGAGAAAGGGAAGUUAUAGGUAACUGAUGUUCUAUAGACCCAAGUUCUCUUUAUUCAUGUUGGGUGACCUGCAUGUGUUAAGCAUAUGGCUAUGUCCAUUCUGAGUUAGGAUUAAACUCGAAUUUUGUGUAUCAUCGGGCCUUGUUGACUGCAGUGGUAGUACCUGGUGAACUGGGCGUAUUCCCUCUCUUCUUUGGUGAUUUUUGCUACUUUAUUUGGUUUGAUGAUUGACAUCAAUGAAAGAGUCUAAGUAUAGUCACUCGUGGAGCCGUAGUGGCAUGGUAGUUGUGUGCAUGGCAGCAUAAUAGUGGUAGUUGAGACUUCAACUCCAUGAGCUGCUUUAAGACUCAUUUAAUUUUGGCAACUCAUUCCAUAACCGAAUGAGUCGACUUCCUGAAUUGAGUGAAUGGGUUGGUCUAGUAGUCACGCUUCAUAUGCUGCACUUGACGUUAGGGCUGCAACUUGGGUUUGGGUCAACUUGAACUUGAUUGACCCAACUGGAUUUUGGGUCGGGUUGUCAAGGUCCUCAGGUCGGAUUUUGGUUGGGAAAUGUCAACCUAAUUUGAAAUCAGGUUGGGCAAAUUCUGGUUGGGUUAGGUUGGGAAAUAAUCAUGUGUUUGGGUCAGAUUGGGUGAAGGCAUUCAAUAACAGUAACGGUGGACGCAAUGGCCAGCCUUAUGGCUGUUACGAUGCGUGCUGUGACAACCAUUACACCCUUGUAACGGUUAUGAGUUGGCCUGUUAUGUGUCCUUUUUAAUUAAAAAAAUGGGUGUUAUGACCCCAUAUGACAUGACAGUCACCACCAUUACCGUUACAUAAUGGUUGCUACAGCCAUAACGUAACCACUUUUUAGAAAACAAAAGCAGUUAUGGAAAUUGAUUUCCAUUUCCAUAGAUUUCCUUUUUUUUUCAUUGUGGUUUUCAUUUCCUAUAAAGAGCCUAAGAGGUUUCUAUGUUUUUUGAGAGAGAACUUUCACUUUUUGACCAUUAACCCAUUCACUCUUCCAUGAAAAUCAUGAAUGCUAAAACGGUUGGGUUACUUCAGAUUCUUUUCCAUGGAUUUCUAUUUCCAUUGAUUUGCUCUCAAUAUGACAUUUUUCUUUCCAAAUCUACAGUGUUGAUUCCACCAAACCAGACAAGUCCCCACCAUUCAACAUAUAUGUUAUUAGUUUAUUGUACAAGCCCUAAUAUUAGGACUGCCCUGUGCACCCAUUUGCUAAUAGUCUCUACUGUUAGUUUCCCACCAUUAAAAAAUAAAGAAAGGUGUUGACUCAUCACAUGGCACUGAUGUAGAGCUACCCAGACAAUCCAAAUUGUGGGUCUUGUAGGCAGAGCAUAUAUCUAAAAUCACACUGAUUGAGCGAGCCUAAGCAUCCAAUUAAUGGCUAUCAAUGGAUGGUAAAAAAAUAAAA